GCCGAGGCGGCGGUAAACAUAAGGUCUGGAAAUGUGUUUGAGGCAGCGGAGUUGUGUUUUCAUAUUAAACGAGUGCUGGCAGCUUCGUGGGCCGAGCUUUAUAAAUAUCUAAUGCGGUGAGCACUAUUAACAGCUGUGUUGUGUUGUGUUGUGCCAGCAGCACAGAGUGUGUGUGUGUGUGUGUGUGUGUUUGGGUGGAGACAUACUGUACCCUCCACCCAUCUGAUCUGAUCACCCCACUGCCACACUCAUCUGCCAUCUCUCUCUUUCUCUCUGUCUCUCUCUCUGUCUGUCUCCCUGUCCCUGUCUCUCUCUCUGUCUCCCUGUCUCUGUCUCUCUCUCUCUGUCUCCCUGUCUGUCUCUCUCUGUCUCCCUGUCUGUGUCUCUCUCUCUCUGUCUCCCUGUCUGUGUCUCUCUCUCUCUGUCUCCCUGUCUCUCUUUCUGUCUCCCUUUCACUCUGUCUCUCUGUCUGUCUUUCUCUCUCUCUCUGUCUCUGUUUGUCUCUCUCUCUGUCUUUCUCUCUCUCUCUUUCUCUCUGUCUUUCUGUCUCCCUGUCCGUUUUUCUCUCAGUCCGUCUCUCUUUCUCUAUCUCUGUCUCUCUUUCUCUCUCUCUCUCUCUGUCUGUCUUUCUCUCAAUAUGUCUUUCUGUCUCCCUGUCCAUCUUUCUCUCAGUCUGUCUCUCUCUCUUUCUCUGUCUCUCUUGCUCUUCCUUUCUCUCUCUGUCUCUUUCUCUCGCACACACACUCUCUCUCUCUUUCUCUCUCUCUCUCUCUCUCUCUCUCUCUCUCUCUGUGUAUCUGUGCAUUACUGAGCCUACAGUUUUUUUUUAUUGAGUUGACUCACUGAAGUUUUUUUGACCGAACUUUUCUUUAUUGCAUCGAGGAAAAAUGAUUUGAUUUAGGAACACUAACUCGGUGGUUCUCUUUCUCUUCGAGGGAGUCGGAACUCUGGGACACUCGCAUUAACUCGGAGUGUAGAAGAGAAAAUGACUGAACUCUGGUUUUCCUAGGUAAUUUUUCUAGUUCGGCAAAAACGCAAUUUCCAACAAUUUUCCCCUAGAGCUACAAGGCCCAUGCAGCUCAACAACUGAUGGAAGCCAAUUUCUUACAAAAUCAUUUCCAUAAAUACAGCCGCAAUCUUCAUAUACACUUGCUGCGGUUUAAUUUCUUAAACUUUUGAGUCGAUAUUUACAAAUUCAUAUCUAUUCUUAUCGCACGUUGCUGUCUUCGAACUCUGGGAGGUGGAGCCUAGGGUGAACUAGCAUUAGGGGUAAACAAAAAAAAAAGAAAGAAAAAAAACAAGCAAAUAAAGGUGAUUCUGAUUUCCCAAGAUGGCCGACACCACAUUGUGACAGCAUUUCUCCACAAGGUCAACGUUUCUUCAUGUUUCUAGGCUGUGUCCUAAACCACAUGAUCGAGUCUUGGUGGUAUUGCUGAAGAACUGGAUGUGGGUCGAUGCAGACAUUCAGUGGAAAAAAAAAAGAGAUUUUGGGUGAGAGAGACUUUACUCGUUAGCUACGUUAGAUUGUAGAUUUUAAAAAAAAAAAAAAGGACAUCAAACAUGUCUUUGCGUGUUUGGUUUAAAUUAUAUUGAACUCUUCUUUUCAGAGCCUUGGGCAGAACGAGUGAAGGUCGGAUCUAAGUAAUUUCUCCGGCGAGAUUAAUCCUUUAUAAAGGAGUGUGUCAUAUCACACACCCCCUUCUCCAAACCGCUGCGCUCUCUUUUUAUGUGUUUUGAGUAAAUAUUGACGGAGUGUUAUUUGCACACUCUUGUUAAUUCAGCAUUUAAUUGAUUCUGGGAUAUUAAUGCUCGCAGCAUUGUGUCACUCUGAAUUCAACAUUUGCAGACUUUAAUUUUCGACCUGCCUGGAGCCGUUAACUUUUUGUCUUAACGGGUGAAAACACAAGCUGAUGUUUGUGUUUGGCUGAUGUUACUUAGUCGUGUUUAUUUCCAGAAUGUUCUGGAAGUCCUGGCCCAACAUGUAAUUUGAGCAAGUCAGGAUGUUCUGUUUCAUCAAUUCAUUGACGGAUGUGUGGCCUCUGUGUUCCUCUUAAAGAGGGAGGUGUGGCCUCUGUAUCCCUCCCAGUGAAGGAGGUGUGGCUUCUCUAUCUGUCCCAGUGAAGGUGUGGCCUCUGUGUUCCUCGUAAUGAUAGAGGUGUGGCUUUUGUAUCUGUCCUAGUAAAGGUGUGGCUUAUGUGUCAGUGAAGGAGGCGUGACUUCUGUGCCUGUCAUUCUUAGUCAUUCUUAGCAAUUCUGUACUCUGUGUCCCAGUGACAUGUGAGGUGUGGCCACUGUUGGUCUCAGUGGAGGAGGUGUGGCCACUGUUAGUCUCAGGGAAGGAGGUGUGGCCACUGUUAGUCUCAGGGAAGGAGGUGUGGCCACUGUUAGUCUCAGAGAAGGAGGCGUGGUCUCUGUUCAUAUUAGAGAAGGAGGUGUGACCACUGUUGAUCUUAGAGAAGGAGGUGUGGUCUGUGUGUUCAUAUUAGAGAAGGAGGUGUGGCCACUCUUAGUCUCAGGGAAGGAGGUGUGGCCGCUGUUAGUCUCAGGGAAGGAGGUGUGGCCACUUUUGGCCUCAGAGAAGCAAGUGUGGUCUCUGUGUUCAUAUUAGAGAAGGAGGUGUGGCCACUGUUAGUCUCAGGGAAGGAGGUGUGGCCACUGUUGAUCUUAGAGAAGGAGGUGUGGUCUGUGUGUUCAUAUUAGAGAAGGAGGUGUGGCCACUGUUAGUCUCAGGGAAGGAGGUGUGGCCACUGUUAGUCUCAGGGAAGGAGGUGUGGCCACUGUUGGCCUCAGAGAAGGAGGUGUGCCCACUGUGAACCUCAGUGAAGGCGUGGUUUCCGUCAAUCCAUGUGGUGUGUAAUCUGUCCAGUCUCUGUAGGAGUUUCCCAAAUCCGUCCGCUAAAAGUUUGUUUUGCACAGAACUGAAUCGCACUGAAACCUCGGCUGCUUAAAAUGUAUCUUUAAAACAUCAGACCACCAAAACUCGCGUCUCUGAGAUGCGCGCUCCUCUCUGCCGGAGUUCAGGGUCGCGGGUGGAUGUUCUGUGAGCUGUAGUCUGAUUCCGGUUUCUCAGCGGCUGGCUCGUGCGUUUUAACCUGCAUAACAGCGGAACACGGGGGGUUUGGCCGAGGGCUCUCAGCUGUGCGAUCAGCCGCUUGUUGUGGAAAUGGUUUUGAUAAAUAAUAAAGCAGGUAAUAACUAGUUGGUGGUGAGGGCAUACACCUCGCCAUGAGUGCGAUCAGAUGUGGAUAAUGAGUGAACAGGGUUACGACUGCAGCAUCCAUUAUUAAACCUUUACCUUCCCUCUUCCUCUUGCUCCUGCGUACCCCUCCCCACGCCUCUCUCUCUCCCUCCCCACACCUCUCUCUCUCCCUCCCCACACCUCUCUCUCCCUCCCUCCCCACACCUUUCUCUCUCCCUCCCUCCCUCCCUCUUUCUGACAGCUGAGACAGGCCUGUACACUUCUCUCUCUCCCAGUGGAGGAGUCAGGUGUGUUUUUCAUAUAAUGGGUAUGUAUGUUUCAUUAGGAAUGGGACAUUUUGUUU